UCCUGUGACAACAUACAAUUGAAAAUUAUAAUUGAUGCGGCAGAAUUAGUAGUUCAAGUUGUUGCAGGAACAGGUACUUUCUGAAGUUGGAUUGAAUUUUUUAGUACAGUUCAGGUGAUCUAAAACUGGUUAAGGUCUGGUUAGUUUCAAUUCGAUCUAAAACUGGUCGUCAAAUCCGAUAAAAUUAUGUCAACGAUGAUUGAAUUAUUGUUGGACCAUCAUGUUAGAUAAGGGAUCAUUAUCAUUGUUGAUUUUCACGAAGCUAGCUACAGGUUGUUCAGCAUAGAAUAGAGAUCAAAGUUUUUGCUAGGUGAAAAAUCUGCCUAAAGUUUCAGAUGCAGGAUUGCACUAGUAAAAGAAAGGGACUGCAGGAGGACCACCUUAACAAUUUUCGCCUAACCAGGACAAAGUUGGCUUGAAGCAACUUGCCAACUUGGUUGGUUGAUUCGUUGUUACACGCUUCUUGCUUGUAUCUUUGUUUUCCCAAUCAUUAUCCACUAGUUGGAGAAUUAGAGGCCAAGAGAUUAAGCUUACCAAGAAUUUCAAGGUGGAGAUUAGGCCUACUCUUGUCAUGUUGUAAUUUGUCCCCGGCACGCUAGUGUAGAGCAAGCAGGCCAGGGACAUAUACUGAUCACGGGUCAGAGAAUCGCCUGCAAACAAAAUGCUCUUUCCCCUGAACUUUUGCAAGAAUGCACGGCCGUCAAAUCUGCAUGAGACCAGCAACGCUUUCACACAUUGGGGUUUUAGUAUUUUUCGAGUAGCAGAUUAUAAAGAGUUGAUGGAGUAAAUACCCUGGUAAUCACUCGAGGAGAGAAAAGGGAUUAUGGGCAAUCGAAUAUGUUAAUAAGUUAGUUAAUUAACAUAAUAACAUUUAAAUGGUUGAGUCAGACUGUAGAGAAAAAUGAUGAAGCAACAAAUGACAAUACCACCAAAUCUUUAAGGUGUUCUUUACCAAAAAAAAAAAA